rnacentral:tRNA from 1 species
GGAGAGAUGCCAGAGCGGUUGAAUGGAACGGUCUUGAAAACCGUCGUGGGGGUCACCUCACCGUGGGUUCGAAUCCCACUCUCUCCGCCA